rnacentral:lncRNA from 1 species
ACCUAUAGAACUUCUUAUGAACUUCUGAGAGGAACAGACUGCUUUCUGCUGCCGGUAUGCUCUCACAAAACCAAAAUAAAUCCCUCAAUUAAUUACUGCAUAAGAUAGUGCAGAAAUAAUAACCGGAAGGAAAAUGUAAACUCUGCCAACCAUUGGGUUACCUUGAAGCGCUGAAUCCACCUAAAGAAACCGGAGCAACAA